rfam:Erinaceus europaeus unplaced genomic scaffold scaffold00939, whole genome shotgun sequence
GCAUGUGAGGGCGAUCUGGCUGGGACAUCUGUCACCCCAUUGAUCGUCAGGGUUGAUUGGGCUGAUCUGGCUGUCUAGGCUGGUGUCUCCUUACUCCCUCACCGCUCCAUGUGCUGGAAGCUGCUCGCUCAGUGGAGGAGGACGGCCUUUCCCAAAUAGAGACAGACAGACUGGUCUUGGUUUGAGGGUAUACAAGUAGCUGGGCUCCCCUGCUAGAACCUCCAAAUAGGCUCUCAAGGUAUGGAUAUUGUUGAGGAGUAAAGAAUCUCCACUGCUUUAUUUAUUAAAGGGAAGGAUCCAAGAGUAUCUGGGGGAUCCAAAGUAUAUUUUUCAAU